GAAGAAGGUAACUUUGGAGUUGGCUCUGUCUAUGUUCCUUGGAACAGGACGUCACAGAGGGUGAGAAUCCCGUGCGAUGAGAUGUCCAACUCUAUGUAAAGUGCUUUCGAAGAGUCGAGUUGUUUGGGAAUGCAGCUCUAAGUGGGUGGUAAAUUCCAUCUAAAGCUAAAUAUUGGCGAGAGACCGAUAGCGAACAAGUACAGUGAUGGAAAGAUGAAAAGAACUUUGAAAAGAGAGUGAAAAAGUACGUGAAAUUGUUGAAAGGGAAGGGUUUGAGAUCAGACUUGGUAUUUUGUAUGUCUUGCUUUCGGGUGGGGCCUCUGCAGUUUACUGGGCCAGCAUCGGUUUGGACGGUAGGAUAAUGACAUUGGAAUGUGGCACU
rnacentral:rRNA from 1 species